rnacentral:rRNA from 1 species
GAUGAACGCUGGCGGCGUGCCUAAUACAUGCAAGUCGAGCGAACGGACGAGAAGCUUGCUUCUCUGAUGUUAGCGGCGGACGGGUGAGUAACACGUGGAUAACCUACCUAUAAGACUGGGAUAUCUUCGGGAAACCGGAGCUAAUACCGGAUGAUAUUUUGAACCGCAUGGUUCAAAAGUGAAAGACGGUCUUGCUGUCACUUAUAGAUGGAUCCGCGCUGCAUUAGCUAGUUGGUAAGGUAACGGCUUACCAAGGCAACGAUGCAUAGCCGACCUGAGAGGGUGAUCGGCCACACUGGAACUGAGACACGGUCCAGACUCCUACGGGAGGCAGCAGUAGGGAAUCUUCCGCAAUGGGCGAAAGCCUGACGGAGCAACGCCGCGUGAGUGAUGAAGGUCUUCGGAUCGUAAAACUCUGUUAUUAGGGAAGAACAUAUGUGUAAGUAACUGUGCACAUCUUGACGGUACCUAAUCAGAAAGCCACGGCUAACUACGUG